AUUCGGGUUGAUAACUAGGCGGCCGGUCUCAACAACCUACGACGUCUGCCUUUUAAGUACCCGAUAGAUUGACCCCUUGGCGAAGAUCUUACACGUUUCCAAAGCGCUCAUGCUUCAGUAUUUGGCGACUUUUAAAUUUUCGCGACAUAC
rnacentral:snoRNA from 1 species